rnacentral:rRNA from 1 species
UGAGGAACAUGACCUUCGGCGGGGGAUAGCCGGCCCAACGGCCGGGUAAUACCGCGUACGACCACAUGGGGACAUCCCUGAGUGGUGAAAGCAGCAAUGCGCCGAUGGAGUGCCUCGCGGCCUAUCAGCUAGUUUGGUGGGGUAAUGGCUCACCAAGGCGACGACGGGUAGCUGGUCUGAGAGGAUGGCCAGCCACAUUGGGACUGAGACACGGCCCAGACCUCUACGGGGAGG